rnacentral:rRNA from 1 species
AUGAACAGGGAAGAGCCCAGCGCAUAAGCUCGUGUCCCCCAACCGGGCACGAGCGGUGUUGCGUUCCGGAGGGUCCGGCACGCCGUCCCAUACCGCCUAAGUCAAGCUUGAACGCGGCCACUACCCAUGGAGGGUGACAGGCCCGUAUGGCGGCGCCCGCGAGGGUACAGAUGGGGCGGUCGGAAAGGACUUCUCUCCGUAGAGUCGGGUUGCUUGAAAGUGCAGCCCAAAGUAGGUGGUAAACUCCAUCUAAGGCUAAAUAUGACCACGAGACCGAUAGCGAACAAGUACCGUGAGGGAAAGUUGAAAAGAACUUUGAAGAGAGAGUUCAAGAGUACGUGAAACCGUCAAGAGCCAAACGGGUGGAGGCUCGAAGGUCGAAUUGAGGGGAUUCAGCCCGUCGGCAAUGUGCUGGCUGGUAAGUUCUGGUACGACCCUUUUAAACUUGGGCGUCCAGCUUGCCUAAGCUGGCGUCGGCGGGCGUACUUCGCCUCUUAGUAGGUCGCCGCGACCCGUUGCUGGGGACGUCUAAGGCCCGGGUGGAUUGGUACCCCGCCGCUUGUCUUCCUUCCUUCGGGAGGGUUUUCCGGCGACUGGGGGAAACCCUCGGUGUUUCCUGGCUGCCCUGCGACGGUCGUUGAGAGGAGCCCUCUUGGCUUGCCAAGGGGUCUCUCGCGGCGUAUAAAAGUUCGGCGCUCCACCCGUCCCGUCUUGAAACACGGGCCAAGGAGUCCAACAUGUGUGCAAGUCAUUGGGCGCACUAAACCCAAAGGCGUAAUUAAAGUGAGAUGGCUUGGUACGGACGACAGAGUUGUGGUAGGACUGUGCGUCGGGUUGGAGGUCUUUCGGGGCUGAAGGCUUGGCGUGCUUACUCCCUCUCUAGAAUCCUGCCGCUUUGGCCAUGGGUCGAUCCUCGACUGGCUGCCACCGAGUUCCCAUCCUCUUCUAUUCAAGUACGCUGGGUGAGUUAUUUUCUCCGGUCUCUGCUUGGUAGGGGGUUUACGGGAUGGUGCUCGGCCGGCGAAAGUCUUAGAUUUCAUCUUCGGAUGAUUAUAACCUGCUUUAGACAGGGGGGCGCAGGCCCGGGACUUGCCAUAGACGCCACAUGUCUCCCAUAGGUUGCUGCUUUUCGCUGCUGUCGCAUCCGCGUCUUUACGAUGUGUGGUGUGGCUGUUGGCGGGGGUGGGCGCCGACCGGGUUAGCGAGUGUGUAGUCGGCAAGUACCAUGAGCAGGCAUGUUGGGACCCGAAAGAUGGUGAACUAUGCCUGGCCAGGAUGAAGCCAGAGGAAACUCUGGUGGAGGUCCGUAGCGAUUCUGACGUGCAAAUCGAUCGUCAGAGCUGGGUAUAGGGGCGAAAGACUAAUCGAACCAUCUAGUAGCUGGUUCCCUCCGAAGUUUCCCUCAGGAUAGCUGGAACUCGCUCCCAGAUGAAUUUCAUCCGGUAAAGCGAAUGAUUAGAGGUCUUGGGGACGAAACGUCCUCAACCUAUUCUCAAACUUUAAAUGGGUGAGAUGCCGAGCUUGCUUAAAAGCUGAAGCUUCGGCGAAGAAUCGGAGUUCCUAGUGGGCCACUUUUGGUAAGCAGAACUGGCGCUGUGGGAUGAACCAAACGUCGAGUUAAGGGGCCUAAACGAAUGCUCAUUCAGAUCCCAUCGAAAGGUGUUGGUUGCUAUAGACAGCAGGACGGUGGCCAUGGAAGUUGGAAUCCGCUAAGGAGUGUGUAACAACUCACCUGCCGAAGCAACUAGCCCUUAAAAUGGUAUGGCGCUCAAGCAUUCUCCCGAUACUCGACCGCCGGGGCACUACAGGCUUUUUUUUAAAAGGUCUCGAAGCCCCGGUGAGUAGGAGGGUCGCGGUGGUGAGCGCCGAAGGGUUCGGCGUGAGCCGGCCUGGAGCCUCCACCGGUGCAGAUCUUGGUGGUAGUAGCAAAUAAUCGAGAGAGACUUCCUUGAAGGCCGAAGUGGAGAAGGGUUCCAUGUGAACAUCAGUUGGACAUGGGUUAGUCGCUCCUAAGCCCAAGGGAAAGCCUGAUCCCACGCUAACGGCGACGACCAAUCGAGAGACAGAGAGUGACAAUACAACGGAAUUCGUGUGAGAGAGGAACCAAGGAAGGAAGGAAGGGUGAAGAGCUCUGGUGGAACGACUGGUGUUUUACGAAACAGUCCGCGUACGUGGACAGCCAUCUUUCACUAACUUUUCAUUUCUUACUCGCCUCUGAAUUCUAAAACACUCAAAAGAGAAUUAUUACUACAACAACAGAGCGUUGUACGUAAUGUCAAAUCAGUUGCCAGGGAUUAGUGGCGAAAGGGAAUACGGUCAUUAUUCCGUAACCAGGACCCGGAUUCCUAGCAGGUGUACGCAACCUUGUCCCUAGUGGGCAGGGGAACGCUGCCUUGUGCAGGACCCCGGUAACGGGAACCAGCUCGCGUUCGUCGGCGGUGGUCCGGGAAAGAGUUUUCUUUUCUGUUUAAGGCGCCGUGACCCUGGAAGCCAUUCGCAGAGAGAAAGGGUGUUUGUAACACGGUCAGCCGUAGAGCGCCGCGGUUCUUGCGGCGUCCCGAGCGCCACCGCCGGCCCGUGAAACAUGCGAGGGAGGUAACUGAGGUAAAGUCGUCUUUUUAUAGUCGGCAAAACCAACUUUCGGGCCAGUGCGUACCCAUACCGCAGCCGGUCUCCGA